rnacentral:rRNA from 1 species
AACGGACGCUGGCGGCAUGCCUAACACAUGCAAGUCGAACGAGACCUUCGGGUCUAGUGGCGCACGGGUGCGUAACGCGUGGGAAUCUGCCCUUCGGUUGGGAAUAACUGAGAGAAAUUUCAGCUAAUACCUUAUAAUGUCUUCGGACCAAAGAUUUAUCGCCGAGGGAUGAGCCCGCGUAGGAUUAGGUAGUUGGUGGGGUAAUGGCCUACCAAGCCGACGAUCCUUAGCUGGUCUGAGAGGAUGAUCAGCCACACUGGGACUGAGACACGGCCCAGACUCCUACGGGAGGCAGCAGUGGGGAAUAUUGGACAAUGGGCGAAAGCCUGAUCCAGCAAUGCCGCGUGAGUGAUGAAGGCCUUAGGGUUGUAAAGCUCUUUUACCCGGGAUGAUAAUGACAGUACCGGGAGAAUAAGCGCCGGCUAACUCCGUG